CAGCAGCCACGGGAACACGAAGGGGGCUAGCGUUGUUCGGAAUUACUGGGCGUAAAGCGCACGUAGGCGGAUAUUUAAGUCAGGGGUGAAAUCCCAGAGCUCAACUCUGGAACUGCCUUUGAUACUGGGUAUCUUGAGUAUGGAAGAAGUGAGUGGAAUUCCGAGUGUAGAGGUGAAAUUCGUAGAUAUUCGGAGGAACACCAGUGGCGGAGGCGGCUCACUGGUCCAUUACUGACGCUGAGGUGCGAAAGCGUGGGGAGCAAACAGGAUUAGAGACCCCAGUAGUCCCUGUCUCUUAUAC
rnacentral:rRNA from 1 species